GAAAAAAGAAAAGCCUCUCCCUCUCCUUCAUGUAAUAAGCGUGGCUUAAUGCAAGCAUAGAGAUAACCAACGUCGACUCGAUUGGAUUUCGAUAAGUUAACUAGUAAGAUCUGUUUGUUAUUAUGGCUGGUUCGCCCGAUUUCGUUGAGUUUGCUGGGCAGAAGGGGGCGAGAUGGCCAGAGAUGUCGGGAUUUUCACAGACUUGUAGUCUGUUGAGUCAGUACCUCAAGGAGAAAGGUAGUUUGGGAGAUCUGAGUCUUGGGAUGACAUGCAGCAGUGAAGGAAAUGGUACACCAGAGAUGGUGCGUCAGGUGGCAACAACAAUGAAUUUAUUUCCAAUGAGUGAGAAACAAGGUGAUGUUUCCACCACAAACAAGCCUACCACUCGGACUAAUUUAAUAUCCAUGGAUUUGUUCCCUCAACA
rnacentral:misc_RNA from 1 species